UACAGAGUCGUCCAUUUUGGUACACAAUU
rnacentral:piRNA from 1 species